UUAACGCUUGGAGUUCCCUCGAGCACUUCGCCGAAUCCAGCAGCCUGCAAUAACGCUUCUUUAAUUAUGUCAUCUGCAUGAAUUAAUGGAUUCGCUGAAGUGUUUGGGGGAACUCCGAGCGUCAU
rnacentral:pre_miRNA from 1 species